CUGUCUCCUACGUGGGGUGAAGAUCUCGGGAGAGGCCGGAUCUCCCGCGCGGGGCGAAGAUCUCGGGAGAGGACGGGUCUCCUGCGCAGGGUGAAGAUCUCACGAGAGGAUGGGUCUCCUGUGUGGGGGGAAGAGCCACACACAGAGAAGCCCAGGACCCUGUGCAUAGAGCAACAGCUUUCAGAUGAUGAGCUUUGAUUAACGGAGGCAUUCAUCAAUGCACAGAGGCAAAACCAGUGUCCUCAGAGUAUCCAGACCCUGAAAGCUGAAAGAAGGAAUGAAAAACCUGCCUCUGGAAGUGGCAUUGGCAAGGUAUGACCACAAGGAAAGCAGCAUGAGAUGCUCCUUCCCUGCUUCGACCAUGCUGAGACCUGACUCAUUGCUGGACUAGAGAAAAUCAAGGGCACAGUCCUUCCAGGUAGUUAAAAGCAUCUGUCAGAUUCCGAAAUCUCCAGUCACUGCCAGCCUCAUCUGAAAUCCCAAGUCACCUGCUCACAGGAUGGAGGAAGCGGAGGACUCUGCUCUGUCCUGGGGUUCCUGAGGCCUGCAGUGAUGUUCCAUGCAAAGGGCCAUCCCCAAGAGGAUAGGAUGGACCAAGAAUUAGGAACAUGCAGAGAAGGGCUUGAGACUUUUUAGGGUCACAGCUGGUCCAACGGUCUGAGAAAGGGAAGUCCAGACACCUGGCCUCUGCUCUGGACAGAAGCCGAGAAGUGGUCUGCAGAUCAGGAUGCCAUGACUGCCACUCUGGGCAUCUCUCACACGCUCAGCGUGUCUCAGUUCCAUGGUGGGAACCACUGUCCUCAGGAAAAGCUGUUUUCUUUCUGUGUGAAAGUAACCACCCGAAUCCCCAAGGAAACAGGAAGAAAAGGUCGGCAACAAAAUACCUAUUAAAAUUCUCCACAUUUUGGCCAGGCACAGUGACUCUCGCCUGUAAUCCUAGCACUUUGGGAGGCCAAGGUGGGGCAGAUCACUUGAGGUCAGGAGUUCGAGACCAGCCUGGUCAACAGGAUGAAACCCCAUCUCUACUAAAAAUACAAAAAUUAGCCAGGUGUGGUGACACAUGCCUGUAAUCCCAGCUACUCUACUCAGGAGGCUGAGGCAGGAGAAUCGCUUGAACCUGGGAGGUGGAGGUUGCAAUGAGCCAAGAUCAUGUCACUGCACUCCAGCCUGGGUGACAGAGCAAGACUCCGUCUCAAAAAAAAAAAAAAAAAAAAAAAAAAAAAAAAAAAAAAACCACAUGCAAAGAAACUGAAGCACAGUCCAUACAUAGCGCCACUGACUCCCUAUCAAAUGUGAAACAUUUUAAGUGACGUUUCUCCACAUGGAAAAGCCUGGUGGAGAGAGAAAGGGACAGGGCAUGUUAUCACACAAACCAAGCAUUUUUCAGGAGGGUGUGCAGUGUGGGAUGUGCUACAAACUGAGGGCUCAUUGCGGACGUGCAACAGAAGGAGGGAUGCUUCUGGUGAAUUUUUAACAGAACAAGCAGUUUAUAAAAGGGCCCGUAAAAUAUUGACCCUGUUGGGGGGGGAAGCCUGUUAUAUAUGCAUGAUAAAACAGAGAAAAAUAAAAAUAGUCAACGUUUACCUGGCA